rnacentral:rRNA from 1 species
ACCGGGAUAACUCCGGGAAACCGGAGCUAAUACCGGAUAACACCGAAGACCGCAUGGUCUUUGGUUGAAAGGCGGCCUUUGGCUGUCACUUGCGGAUGGGCCCGCGGCGCAUUAGCUAGUUGGUGAGGUAACGGCUCACCAAGGCGACGAUGCGUAGCCGGCCUGAGAGGGUGACCGGCCACACUGGGACUGAGACACGGCCCAGACUCCUACGGGAGGCAGCAGUAGGGAAUCUUCCGCAAUGGGCGAAAGCCUGACGGAGCGACGCCGCGUGAGCGAAGAAGGCCUUCGGGUCGUAAAGCUCUGUUGUGAGGGACGAAGGAGCGCCGUUCGAAGAGGGCGGCGCGGUGACGGUACCUCACGAGGAAGCCCCGGCUAACUACGUGCCAGCAGCCGCGGUAAUACGUA